UCCCUGGUAGCUCAGAGGUUAGAGUGUCUGCCUGCAGUGCAGGAGAGCUGGGUUUGAUCCCUGGGUUGGGAA
rnacentral:tRNA from 1 species